AGCUUUAUAUUCAAAAAUGAUUUAAAAUUGCAAAUUUAAGGAGUAAAUAAAUUUACUAAGGCUU
rnacentral:tRNA from 1 species